rnacentral:tRNA from 1 species
GCGUCAGUAGCUCAGGUGGAUAGAGCAACAGCCUUCUAAGCUGUGGGUCCCGAGUUCGAGUCUUGGCUGACGCA